AAUAGAUACCCCGGUAGUCCACGCCGUAAACGAUGAGUGCUAAGUGUUAGAGGGUUUCCGCCCUUUAGUGCUGCAGCUAACGCAUUAAGCACUCCGCCUGGGGAGUACGGUCGCAAGACUGAAACUCAAAGGAAUUGACGGGGGCCCGCACAAGCGGUGGAGCAUGUGGUUUAAUUCGAAGCAACGCGAAGAACCUUACCAGGUCUUGACAUCCUCUGACAACUCUAGAGAUAGAGCGUUCCCCUUCGGGGGACAGAGUGACAGGUGGUGCAUGGUUGUCGUCAGCUCGUGUCGUGAGAUGUUGGGUUAAGUCCCGCAACGAGCGCAACCCUUGAUCUUAGUUGCCAGCAUUUAGUUGGGCACUCUAAGGUGACUGCCGGUGACAAACCGGAGGAAGGUGGGGAUGACGUCAAAUCAUCAUGCCCCUUAUGACCUGGGCUACACACGUGCUACAAUGGAUGGUACAAAGGGCUGCAAGGCCGCGAGGUCAAGCCAUCCCAUAAAACCAUUCUCAGUUCGGAUUGUAGG
rnacentral:rRNA from 1 species